rnacentral:rRNA from 1 species
GCAAGAUACCACGGGCGCACGGCGGAUGCCUUGGCACAGGGAGCCGAUGAAGGACGCGGCAAGCUGCGAUAAUCCCCGGCGAGGAGCACACAUCCUUCGACCCGGGGGUCUCCGAAUGGGCGAACCCAUCCACAGAGGUGUGGAUAUCCCGGCCCCGAACACAUAGGGGCCGGGAGGACAACCCGGGGAACUGAAACAUCUAAGUACCCGGAGGAGAGGAAAUCAAUCUCGAGACUCCCCGAGUAGCGGCGAGCGAAAGGGGACCGAUGGCCAAACCGUCGAGCGGGCAUACCCGGCAGGGGUUCCGCCGACGGGGUUGCAGGGCCGCGCAUCCGGGGGCUGCCGCCCCCGGGCGCAGGUCCGGCUGGGGAGCGGAACGGCAUGGGAGGGCCGGCCGCAGCGGGUGACAGCCCCGUACGCGAACCCAGACCGGACGGCGCGACGCGGUCCCUGAGUAGGGCCGGGCACGUGAAACCCGGUCCGAACCUGGGUGGACCACCAUCCAAGCCUGAGUACUACCCUGUGACCGAUAGCGCACCAGUACCGUGAGGGAAAGGUGAAAAGCACCCCGGGAGGGGAGUGAAACAGUACCUGAAACCGUGCGCCCACGAGCAGUCGGAGCACCCUUGUGGUGUGACGGCGUGCCUUUUGUAGAAUGAGCCAGCGAGUCGCUGGCGCGGGGCGAGGUUAACCGAAAGGGAGCCGGAGCGAAAGCGAGCCUUAACAGGGCGACUUGAGUCCCGCGCCGCGGACGCGAAGCCGGGUGAGCUAUCCGUGGGCAGGCUGAAGCGGGGGUAAGACCCCGUGGAGGGCCGAACGCACGUCGGUUGAAAACGGCGGCGAUGACCUGCGGAUAGGGGUGAAAGGCCAAUCAAACCCGGAGAUAUCUCGUUCUCCCCGAAAUAGCUUUAGGGCUAGCGUCGCGCGUUCACCGCCGGAGGUAGAGCACCGGAUGGACGAGGGGGCUUCGCCGCCUACCGAAUCCAACCGAACUCCGAAUGCCGGCGGCCCAGAGCGCGGCAGUCAGAGCAUGUGGGCUAAGCUGUGUGCUCGAGAGGGAAACAGCCCGGACCGCCCGCUAAGGUCCCCAAGUUCCAGCCGAGUGGCAAAGGAUGUGCGUCCGCCCAGACAACCAGGAUGUUGGCUUAGAAGCAGCCAUCCAUUCAAAGAGUGCGUAACAGCUCACUGGUCGAGUGGACAUGCGCCGACAAUACACGGGGCUAAGCUGGACACCGAAGCGGCGGGAUUUUGAUUUUCAGAAUCGGUAGGGGAGCUUCCCAUGGGCGGCGAAGCCGCCGGGCGACCGGCGGUGGAGCGCAUGGGAGUGAGAAUGCUGGCAUGAGUAGCGAGAGACGAGAGAGUAACUCGUCCGCCGUGAACCCGAGGUUUCCUGGGCAAGGCUAAUCCUCCCAGGGUCAGUCGGGGGCUAAGGCGAGGCCGGGAGGCGUAGCCGACGCGCAGCAGGCAGACAUUCCUGCACCGCGCACGCGGCGCUACGACCGACGGGGCGACGGAUGGGGGUGGCUCGGCGGGGUUCUGGACGUCCCCGUGAUGGAGCGCGGCCCGCGGACCAGGGAAAUCCGGUCCGCACGAGGGCGAGGCUCCGGACGAAGCGAUCAAGCGAAGCGAGUGAGCCCGAGGUCCCUAGAAAAACCCCUAGGCAGGCGCGUGCGCGCCCGUACCGCAAACCGACACAGGUGGGUGGGUAGAACAUACCGAGGCGAUCGGGUCAACCAUGGUCAAGGAACUCGGCACAAUGGCCCCGUAACUUCGGGAGAAGGGGUGCCCGCGCGUACGUGAACCGGCUUGCCCGGGGAGCGGAGGCGGGCCGCAGUGGAGAGGCCCAAGCGACUGUUUACCAAAAACACAGGACUCUGCAGAAGCCGCAAGGCGACGUAUAGGGUCUGACGCCUGCCCGGUGCCGGAAGGUCACGCGGAGGAGUUAGCCGCAAGGCGAAGCCCCGAAGCCAAGCCCCGGUAAACGGCGGCCGUAACUAUAACGGUCCUAAGGUAGCGAAAUUCCUUGUCGGGUAAGUUCCGACCUGCACGAAAGGCGCAACGACUUGGGCGCUGUCUCGACCAUGGACCCGGUGAAAUUGCACUGGUCGUGAAGAUGCGACUUACCCGCGGAAGGACGGAAAGACCCCGUGAACCUUCACUGCAGCUUGGCAUUGGCCGCUGGUCCCGCGUGUAGAGGAUAGGCAGGAGGCACAGAUCCGGAGGCGCCAGCCCCCGGGGAGCCGCCCUUGGAAUACUGCCCUCGCGCGACCGGCGUCCUAACCCGAGGCCGUCAACCGGCUCGGGGACCGUGCCAGGCGGGCAGUUUGACUGGGGCGGUCGCCUCCUAAAGGGUAACGGAGGCGCGCGAAGGUCCGCUCGGGACGGUCGGCAACCGUCCUUUUGAAUGCAAGAGUACAAGCGGGCUUGACUGCGAGGCCCACAAGCCGAGCAGGUGCGAAAGCAGGCUCUAGUGAUCCGGCGGCCCCGAGUGGGUGGGCCGUCGCUCAACGGAUAAAAGGUACUCCGGGGAUAACAGGCUGAUCUUGCCCAAGAGUCCACAUCGACGGCAAGGUUUGGCACCUCGAUGUCGGCUCAUCGCAUCCUGGGGCUGGAGCAGGUCCCAAGGGUACGGCUGUUCGCCGUUUAAAGCGGUACGCGAGCUGGGUUCAGAACGUCGUGAGACAGUUCGGUCCCUAUCCUCCGUGGGCGCAGGAGAAUCGAUGGAGGCUGCCCCCAGUACGAGAGGACCGGGGUGGACGCACCUCCGGUGAACCGGUUGUCGACCAACGGCACGGCCGGGUAGCCGCGUGCGGCGCGGAUAACCGCUGAAGGCAUCUAAGCGGGAAGCCGUUCCAGGGAUUAGUUCUCCUUCCGGUAAGGGCCCAGGUAGACUACCUGGUCGAUAGACGGCAGGUGCAAGGACGGCGACGUCCUCAGCCGAGCCGCACUAAUCGCCCGAGCUCUUCC